rnacentral:lncRNA from 1 species
CCGCUGUCGGCCCCCGGGGCUGGUGGGGACAGCGGGGGGCUGUAGGGACAGAGGAGCUGGGACCUGAUGGCCCGUGCCCCCCGGCUGCAGGAGGCGCGGAUGAGCCGAGCGGCGGAGGUGAUGGUCCAGCACGUGGAGAACCUGAAGCGGCACCACCUGCGGGAGCACGCCGAGCUGGAGGAGAUGAAGCGCCUGAUCCAGCAAAACUCCCGCAACCGGCAGCUGGCCGAGACCCAGGAUGACGCGGAGCCACGGCUGAGGCCUCACCCCCUGAUGCGAUCCUUCCAGCAGGGCUUGGCUGGCAGGAGGCCGUUCUCUAGCACCAGCUCGAAUUCGGCACUGGUUCCCCUCCAGCUCAAGAGGCGUCUGCCCGCCGCAGAGUCAGCAUCGCCGUCAUCCCCAAGCAGCUCUUGCCAGGUGCCAGCACGGACAGCCGAGCGUCCCCCGCCAGCGAGCCGGAGGGGUCCCAGCGCCCGACCAGCACCCAGAGGAGCGAGCUGGAGCCACCGGGCCGGGGCAGCACCGUGAGCGGGGAGCCGGCGGCUGGGGCAGAUGGCAAGGACACGAGCGCAGGGAGCGAGGAGCCAGAGCAGCUUGGGCUGAUGUGAGCGCACCCCGCGUCCUCCCUGCAGCCUUUGGGGGGGGCUCUGUGGUCCCAAAGUGGUCGGCAUGUGGGGAUGGAGCUGGGAAGCUUGGGGACGGAGAGCAGGGAUGGUUUGUGGCUGCCUCA